AGCGAACGCUGGUGGCAGGCUUAACACAUGCAAGUCGAGCGGGUGUAGCAAUACAUCAGCGGCAGACGGGUGAGCAACGCGUGGGAACGUACCUUUUGGUUCGGAACAACCCAGGGAAACUUGGGCUAAUACCGGAUAAGCCCUUACGGGGAAAGAUUUAUCGCCGAAAGAUCGGCCCGCGUCUGAUUAGCUAGUUGGUGAGGUAAUGGCUCACCAAGGCGACGAUCAGUAGCUGGUCUGAGAGGAUGAUCAGCCACAUUGGGACUGAGACACGGCCCAAACUCCUACGGGAGGCAGCAGUGGGGAAUAUUGGACAAUGGGGGCAACCCUGAUCCAGCCAUGCCGCGUGAGUGAUGAAGGCCCUAGGGUUGUAAAGCUCUUUUGUGCGGGAAGAUAAUGACGGUACCGCAAGAAUAAGCCCCGGCUAACUUCGUGCCAGCAGCCGCCGUAACAC
rnacentral:rRNA from 1 species